rnacentral:rRNA from 1 species
AACGAACGCUGGCGGCAGGCCUAACACAUGCAGGUCGAGCGAGGACUUCGGUCCUAGCGGCGGACGGGGGAGUAACGCGUGGGAACGUGCCCUUUGCUUCGGAAUAGCCCUGGGAAACAGGGAGUAAUACAGGUUGAGCCCUUUGGGGGAAAGAUGUAUCGGCGAAGGAUCGGCCCGCGUUGGAUUAGGUAGUUGGUGGGGUAAUGGCCGACCAAGCCGACGAUCCAUAGCUGGUUGGAGAGGAUGACCAGCCGCACUGGGACUGAGACACGGCCUAGACUCGUACGGAAGGCAGCAGUGUGGAAUCUUAUGCAAUGGGGGCAACCCUGAUCUAGCCACGCCGCGUGUGAGAUGAAGGCCUUAGGGUUGUACAGCUCUUUCAGCUGGGAAGAUAAUGACGGUACUAGCAGAAGAAGCCCCGGCUAACUCCGUG